UUAUUCUCUAACUUCCCGACUUGCCCCUAAACUUUUCGCAAAAUUUCCAACUGAUCUCUCCAGGAAACCCGGGUACUCACUGUCUAGAAGGAUCCUAUAAGGGGUAGUUAUGUCAGUUUGUCUGUUGCGUGAUAAGUGAACUACGGGGGCAUUUUAGUCAUUUCAUAAUCUAUGUGCAAACUUUGUCAAUGGAUAAUGAUAAUGCAAAUGUUAGGUUAUCUUUUUUAUAUUUGUUCUUAGGUGGGAAUCGGAAAUGACUUCUGUGUCCUUAUAUGGCGUAAGAUAUAUCAUCAUGCAUGUAGGCCAGCUCCGUAUUAGUUUUGGCCAUGUUCAAUUAUUUGGGGCUGUUAAAUUAUAGUGCCCUUAUUGGAUGGGCGCAUACGGAGACCAGACGGGCUCGACAAAUUUAAUUGUGUGGGUCGUCUCGAAGAUUUACACGUAUGACAUAUCAUUUCAUAUUAUCCGGGCUGUACUUUACACACACACACACACAUGUAUAUAAAGGCACGUGCACUCCACCUAUAUGUAUAUAUUUUUGCAGAAGUAUUAAUUUGGUUUCUGAAGGAUGUUUACUGAAAGUAAAUUAUUACAUAUGUAGAAUUACUGUACUAGUUAGAUACAGUAAAUUAUGAUCUUGUCUAGGACUCUAUUUUGUAGCGUGAAAUGUAACGUUAAGCAGAAAUAGAAAAACGUAAACUACUGCUCAUUUGCAAUGAACUUUUUACCUAGACUGGGGAGUGUAUUUGUGGGCUAAAUUAAAGAGAAAUUAGUAUUAUAAAUGCUUCAUGAGUACAUAUACAGAGAUUGGUUGCAGUAUGAACAUGCAGUAGGGAGUAAGCAAAUUACAGAAUAAUAUAAUUCUUUUAUAUUGUUUUACUUUGUUGGGAUUUGUAUUUAGAUGAUGGGAUGGUUGUUUUCUGUAACUUGGUUUGGGUAAUUAAGAUAAACAUGAAUGUGGGUGUAGGAGGAGGCAGAGAGACAUCGUACCGGUUUAGAAGGAGGUCAACAUCGGAUGCAUACGAGAAAGGAAGCGAGGACGUCGGAGCCAGGAUUGUUCCUCCUUAUAACGAUGUGUGAGCUUUAGAGAAACUCAAAACCUUUUCGCCUUUUGUUUCAUCCCGGCUGCCGGAAAUCUU
rnacentral:lncRNA from 1 species